UACAGAGGUCUCGAGCGUUAGGCGGAAUCACUGGGCUUAAAGCGUGUGUAGGCGGAUCGUUAAGUACCUUGUGAAAUCCCACGGCUUAACCGUGGAACUGCUUGGUAUACUGGCGGUCUUGAGCCAGCUAGGGGCUACCGGAACAAAUGGUGGAGCGGUGAAAUGCGUAGAUAUCAUUUGGAACGCCAAUGGUGAAAACAGUCUGCUGGGGACUUGCUGACGCUGAGACACGAAAGCCAGGGGAGCGAACGGG
rnacentral:rRNA from 1 species